rnacentral:misc_RNA from 1 species
UACGUAGGGGGCAAGCGUUGUCCGGAAUUAUUGGGCGUAAAGCGCGCGUAGGCGGUCUCUGAAGUGUGAUGUGAAAGCUAACGGCUCAACCGGGGAGGGCCAUUGGAAACUGGGAGGCUUGAGUAUAGGAGAGAAGAGUGGAAUUCCACGUGUAGCGGUGAAAUGCGUAGAGAUGUGGAGGAACACCAGUGGCGAAGUCGACUCUUUGGCCUAUAACUGACGCUGAGGCGCGAAAGCGUGGGGAGCAAACAGG